GAGGGAAAGUUGAAAAGGACUCUGAAGAGAGGGUUCAAGAGAGCGUGAAACUGCCACGGGGAUAAAGCGGAUACAUUAGCGUAGUCGAUAGGGGAGAUACAGCUCGUCGGCCGUCGACCUCUAGGUGUCCUCGUCCGAUGGGAAUUGCAACCCGAACUUUCGGUCGACUCGCUUUCGGGCUUGUUUUCUCGGGAUUCGGUUCUUUGGUUCCUUACGGUCGAGCGCCUACGUAAAGCGUACGUUCACCGACGAGUCUAAUUCACACCCGUGUAGGCCGCCGCGACGGUCGGAAGGUUGUCGAAGGCUAUUUCGAGAUCUCGGGAACCCGUCGUUUGCGCGUACUCGAGAAUUCGCGUUCUCGAGCGUGUCGACGACGGGGGACGGUCUUAUAGAAUUUACUGACGGACUUUCCGACCGGAGAAAUAGACGUUGUUAGCGAUUUUAUUAUCGCGAAAACGUAAGUGCGGCGCUCGUAGCGAACAAUUUAUCCGUCCCGUCUUGAAACACGGACCAAGGAGUCUAACAUGUACGCGAGUCAAAGGGCUUACUAAACCCUCAGGCGUAAUGAAAGUAAAUCGGGAUUGAUCCGCGCUCUUUUUUAUUAAAGACCGGCGCAAAUCCGGGACCCGUCUUACUGCUUUAUUAGCUUCGCGGCUUUUAUCGUUCACGUGGCGGGUACCUCGAGCGUACAUGUUGGGACCCCA
rnacentral:rRNA from 1 species